CCCAGCAAGGAGAGAAGAGUAACUGAGACAAUGGCUCAGCAAAUCUCAGUAACUCUCCUGAAGAAAACAGAUGGAUCUAGCAGGCAAACUUAAUAGACAUCUGCUUCAUGAGUCUAGGUGCUCUUUUCUGUUCAUUAUCUGGGAAACUUGAUGCUAAAUAUUAUUCAACUACUCAGAACACAAGGAAUCUAAAUGCAAGGUGAGGAUUGGUCUAUCUUGUACAACCCUCCACCCUUUUGCUUAUAGGCUCCACCUGCUUUUUCCACAUUGGCUGUUGGAUACUUUCCCAUGGGGAUCAUGGCAGUGUCUCAGCCUUAGCACUUCAAAAUUCAAUAAAGCCCCACCUCUGCCUUAACCACAAGCAAGCUUCUUCUACUCAAGGCCUAUUUCUGAUAAAAGUACUGUCAUUAUAGUCAAGUUGGGCAAACUGAAGCCCACGUGCCAAAUUCAGCAGAUGAUAAGGAAGAAUGAUAUAGCCACAAGUGAAGCCACCAGAAGAUGGGAAAGAAAAGGAACCGAUUCCAUGCUGGAGUCUCUAGAAAGAAUGCAGCUCUGCCAAUACCUUCAUUUCAGCUCUGUAGGCCCACGUUGGACUUUUAGUCUCCAGAACUAUAUAGAUGUAUAUUAUU